CUCUUCUUGUUUUAUUUUUGAAGUAUAGCCUGCCCACUGAUUAAUUUUGAAGGGCCGCGGUAUUUUGACCGUGCAAAGGUAGCAUAAUCAUUAGUCUUUUAAUUGAAGACUAGAAUGAAUGGUUGGACGAGGAAUAGACUGUUUCUUAAUAAUAUAUUUUGAAUUUAAAAUUUAAGUUAAAAUGCUUAAGUUUUUUUAUGGGACGAGAAGACCCUAUAGAGUUUAAUAAAUUUUAUUAUUAUUUUGUUUGUUAAGUAAUUUAUUUGUAGAAUUUAUUUUGUUGGGGUGAUGAUAAUGAAUUAAUAAACUCUUUUUUUUUGUUGUAUAUUUAUUUAUAAUUCUUUGAUCCAUUCUUGUUGAUUAAAAGACUAAAUUACCUUAGGGAUAACAGCGUAAUCUUUUUUGAGAGUUCUUAUCGAUAAAAGGGUUUGCGA
rnacentral:rRNA from 1 species